rnacentral:rRNA from 1 species
GAUGAACGCUGGCGGCGUGCCUAAUACAUGCAAGUCGAGCGAACGGACGAGAAGCUUGCUUCUCUGAUGUUAGCGGCGGACGGGUGAGUAACACGUGGAUAACCUACCUAUAAGACUGGGAUAACUUCGGGAAACCGGAUCUAAUACCGGAUGAUAUUUUGAACCGCAUGGUUCAAAAGUGAAAGACGGUCUUGCUGUCACUUAUAGAUGGAUCCACGCUGCAUUAGCUAGUUGGUAAGGUAACGGCUUACCAAGGCAACGAUGCAUAGCCGACCUGAGAGGGUGAUCGGCCACACUGGAACUGAGACACGGUCCAGACUCCUACGGGAGGCAGCAGUAGGGAAUCUUCCGCAAUGGGCGAAAGCCUGACGGAGCAACGCCGCGUGAGUGAUGAAGGUCUUCGGAUCGUAAAACUCUGUUAUUAGGGAAGAACAUAUGUGUAAGUAACUGUGCACAUCUUGACGGUACCUAAUCAGAAAGCCACGGCUAACUACGUG